CAAUAGCGUAUAUUAAAGUUGUUGCGGUUAAAAAGCUCGUAGUUGGAUUUCUGUGGUAGGCAGCCGGUCCGCACUAUGUGCGAGUAUCUGGUUCGGCUACUGCAUCCUCCUGAAGAACGUUGGUGCGCUUCACUGCGUGGCACGGUAUUCAGGACUUUUACUUUGAGGAAAUUAGAGUGUUCACGGCAGGCGCUUGCCCUGAAUAUAUUAGCAUGGAAUAAUAGAAUAGGACUUUGGUUCUAUUUUGUUGGUUUCUAGGACCGAAGUAAUGAUUAAUAGGGACAGUUGGGGGCAUUAGUAUUUAAUUGUCAGAGGUGAAAUUCUUGGAUUUAUGAAAGACUAACUACUGCGAAAGCAUUUGCCAAGGAUGUUUUCAUUAAUCAAGAACGAAAGUUAGGGGAUCGAAGAUGAUCAGAU
rnacentral:rRNA from 1 species